GAGACAAUUCGGUAACACCACUCUUCGUGUCCCCAAUAAAAAAUAUGAAAAUACCCUCUGAUUUCAUUGUUUAUCGCUGCUUGUUGAGUCUCUCACCCCUUCUCCCUUUCCCUCACCAAACAAGAGCCAUUUAUAGGGUAUACUUCCUCGCCAUCAUUCCUCACCAUCGCGUCUCAAUUGCCUCCAUCCUCAACCGUCCCGGUGGCGGCGUCUCCCUCGGUAGCCAAAUUGUCGUCAUCGGAGGGUGGGUUCCUCUCUUAUCUCUCUCCUCUCAAAUCUGAAUCGUUUGAAACAAAGUUGCUUGAAUGGUUUCCAUCUCUCCAAAUUUCAACUUCUUGGGUUCUAACUUCUACUCCAUCUCCGAUCUCAAAUCAUUACUGAAUAACAAUAUCUCCUCUCUCUAAAUCCGACUCAACAAUGUCCGAUUUGUGUUCUUGGCUCCACAGCAGGAUCGUCGAACCCCAUCUCCAAUUUUUACGCAGGGGUGCAGAGCCUAUGCAAAUGGCAUUUUCAUCAGCUCUUAGUUAUAUGUGAUGUAGCACAAUCUCCAUCUUCUUCAGCUUCCACUGGAUCAACUCCAGCUACUCCAGGUCCACUUUCUCUUCUGAUCUUACAAAUGACCAAAUGGACCACUAAUAUGGAGUUUAUUUGGACCAAAUGGAGCAAUUCCCGGCUCUUAAAGAACCAAAUAGUCGAAGAAGAAACUGAUCAAGAUCAAGAUGGAAAAGUUUUGUUUGGACCAAUCAAUGGCCCUUCAGUUCUGAGCGCAAAACCAACCCCAGGAAUGCCAAUUGUGGAUGAUUAGGAUUGCUUGAAAUCAAUGGUAACAACAUGUAAUCGGGUAAAACUAUCCUGCAAUUUAUUUAUCUUUGUAGUUUCCUUUGUGUAAAGAAGAGAUUCAAAUUUAUACCGAUUUGGUGGUUUCCUCUUUGUAUUUGUUUGUCUCUAGGAUGCUCGGACUCGGGUACGGGUGUCGGACCCGGGUAAGGGAUCCGAGUGUCGGACAUGAGAAACUCAAAAAUCAAGGACUCGGGGACACGUUUUGAAAGGGUCCGAAACUUAUAUUUGGACUCGGGGACACGGCAAUGCAAAAACAAAAUAAAGAUUUUUUAUUUUUUAUUUGCAGAUUUUUUUAAAAAAAAGUACUGAUUAUAGUAGUUUUUUCAAUAUAUAUAAUUUAAGUAUUAGGUGAGAAGUCAAACUCCUUAGAUAAAAAUACCAUACUUUAUUGCUCAUAUUAUCAAAUAAAGUAAAAACAGAAAAAGAGGCAAAGGACUCAGGACUCAAGACUAAUAAAGUUAAAAAGCAGAAAAAGAGGUAGAUGGGAAUCAGUCACUUUCUUCCACCUACCCAACCCCACAUUAAAAAGUAAAAAAAAUUAAAACCGAAAAUCAGAACCUGCUAUUCUGCUAAUGUCGAAGAUAUUUUUUUUCAAAAAAGUCGAAGCUGCUACUCUGCUAAUGUCGACAACCACCCUUCGCUGGAGAAGAAAACCAACAACUCGGUGGUCCGAUCAACUCGGAUUUUCUGGCCGAACAAAAGCCCUAAGGUUUCGGCUCUUGAUUUGUUGUUUUCUCUUCUCAAUUUUUAGAUCUAGGGUUAGUGAGUGCCGAGUCCACUUUUUUUCCGGCGGGUCCGAUCCGGAUUCCGUGUCCGCACCCGGGUCGCGUCGUGUCGACACCGGUACGGAGGGGUGGUGAGCCGAGUCCGAGCAUCAUAGGUUUGUCUUAGUUUACAGAAAUUUAUGAUGCUCAUAUUCACCGUAUUGAGUGGAUUCAUGAUAUUCUUUCAUAUCCAUAUUUGUUUAUCUUAACAUGUGUUGAGGUUUUAAUAAUCUAUGUAGAAUGCAUAUUCUACAACAGUUUUGUAUUGGUGGUUUACCUGAUGCUUACUGUUUGUGCCACCUUUUGACUUCAUCCGGCUGUGUAGAAGGCGUUAGGCGUGAAUUUAUUUACUAAACACAUCAUUCAUGGUUUUUAAUUGGUGUUGAUUUAUAUGGACAAUAUUGGCAUAAUACCCUGUCAAUGUUCAAAUUUUUUAUAGAAAUUAUUAGUGUGUUUAUUGGUCAGUUCAAAUUUGAAUAAGACGUCAAACACACUAUGGAAAAUAAGAGCAAAUUCUUCAAACUAUAGAAGAGUUCAUUUGUUUUGUUGUUCUCAAUUUAGUUAGAGGACCGGAGAUAGCAUUUUUUUUAUUGCAAUGGCCGAGGUGGGUUAGUUUAGAUUAAUAGUUGUUGUCACACUUUUACUAAGAGCACUAUUUGAAGAACAAUGAAUAAAGACUGGCUACGAUUCUUUUCUUCUCACUGCCCUCUGGUUAGGGCAUGUCAGUGCUUCACUCCUGAAUUGGUUUCAUUCUUUUAUUUGUGUUUGUUUGUUUGCUUCCUUUUUUCUGUGGCUCUUAGAAUUUGAUAUUUGUUGAUUUUCUUUGGUGAACAUUUUCUUUUCCACAGGGAUAUACCAUUGGAAGCAUGCUUACACAAAGUACCAACAGAUCCAUUAAAACGUGGGUCUCAAUUGCCAGUUAAGUGGCCAUCACGGUUGGAUAAAACUCCUUAAUGGUUAAAAGACUCCGAGGCUGGGGUUUAUGGAAAAACAACUCCUAAGGACUUCAAUGCUGACUAUAAGCACUGGAAACGUGUUGUUGUUGAUUCAUAUAUGUAUGGUAAUGGUAUUCAUUGGUUGUCGGUGAGAAAUGUGAUGGACAUGAGAGCUAUAUACGGAGGGUUGCACACAAUUUUUUAGUACCCACUUUUAUAGUGUCAGUUAUCAGAGGGAGUUGCUCUCAACAAGGAUGCCAACAGUAUAGAAGAAGAGAAGGGUUGCCAAUGCCAUCAUCGAAACAUUAAUAUAACAUCAACAUUAUGUUUUUAUUUUAUUUUUUUAUCUUUUUAUUUUUAAUCCUAAUAAUUAACCAUGUUUAAACUAUUUAAUAGAAAAAGUUAGGAAAAUAACGAACUUAAUAGUAUAAGUGUACCGUUGGCAAUAUAAUUUGAAGUAAGUGUACCAUUGGCAAAAGUCAAUAAUAAGAGUGUAAUUAUGGGAGUUUCCUUUUAAAUAUGAACUUUGUGAACAAUUUUUUAACCAAUAUUUAUAUUUAGUGGUAGUAAUACAAUUUUAAGUUUUUAUUUAUAUA